ensembl:lncRNA
AUGCAGAGCCGGAUCGAAGCAGUUUACUCACUGCACAGGAACAAACUACAGAGGAAACAGAGUGUGCUUCGCUCCUGCUUCACUCAGAGUGUGCUUCACUCCUGCUUCACUCCUGCUUCAUUCAGCGUGUGCUUCACUCCUGCUUCACUCAGAGUGUGCUUCACUCCUGCUUCACUCAGAGUGUGCUUCACUCCUGCUUCAUUCAGUGUGCUUCACUCCUGCUUCACUCCUACUUCACUCCUACUUCAUUCAGAGUGUGCUUCACUCCUGCUUCAUUCAGCGUGUGCUUCACUCCUGCUUCACUCCUGCUUCAUUCAGCGUGUGCUUCACUCCUGCUUCACUCCUGCUUCAUUCAGCGUGUGCUUCACUCCUGCUUCAUUCACUCCUGCUUCAUUCACUCCUGCUUCAUUCAGAGUGUGCUUCACUCCUGCUUCAUUCACUCCUGCUUCAUUCAGAGUGUGCUUCACUCCUGCUUCAUUCACUCCUGCUUCAUUCAGCGUGUGCUUCACUCCUGCUUCAUUCACUCCUGCUUCAUUCAGUGUGCUUCACUCCUGCUUCAUUCACUCCUGCUUCAUUCAGCGUGUGCUUCACUCCUGCUUCAUUCAGCGUGUGCUUCACUCCUGCUUCAUUCACUCCUGCUUCAUUCAGCGUGUGCUUCACUCCUGCUUCAUUCACUCCUGCUUCAUUCAGCGUGUGCUUCACUCCUGCUUCAUUCACUCCUGCUUCACUCCUGCUUCAUUUAGAGUGUGCUUCACUCCUGCUUCAUUCACUCCUGCUUCAUUCAGCGGCCUUUCUUUCCUUUUUAGUGCGCAGCUCAGAAAUCCCCUGCCUGUCCGUCAAUGAGACGCGCGCACAGCAGAUCCGCUUAUCUCAUCGUUAGGCGCGUCACGGUCUACGUCACCUGUGUCAAAACAACAUCAAUGGACGCCACAUUACAGUGACACACACACACACACACACACACGGACAUGAAACACCCGUACUGUCGCUGGCGUGAACGUACACGCAUGUCGUUAGCUCGGUACCGCGUAUAGCCCCGCUAGCUUACACGCGCACGGGCACGUACGAGCACGUAUCGACAGUAAAAGUUGCGGAGCUUCGUGUCACGGCCUUUUAAACGACACGAGCGACAAGCGGAAACGCACGCGGAUUAUUCAUCGGCUGCGCGAACAUACCGUGAUCCCGCAUGUGCGUGUGCACGGUGAAGCACUUUGCGUUUAGGGAGAGUGUAAGAGAGAGAGAGAGAGAGAGAGGGAGGGGUGUACAGAGACAGAGAGAGAGAGGAGGUCCAGCCUCAAAGUUUGGCUGGAACGGAACGCUACGGCGGCGGCGGAUGAAUCCAGAAAUAAUGAGACAUAACAACAGCCCUCACCUCCGUCCGCAGCCCCACGCAGUUAUGGACGCCGUGGCUGGACCGGAAUGUCCAUCGAUACACCGCCUGGUUAUCUCGUUACAGCCUGGUCCGUCCACUGGUAGAGCAGAGAACACGGAACUGGUCGGCUCGGAUCUGCCCCAGUCCGCCCAGCAGCAGCAGCAGGCAGGCGGCAGAGAGCAGCGGUGGGCGGGGAGCCACCAGGCAGGCAGGCAGGGCUCGGAAACUGAAAGCGUUGUGUAACAGUGACUAUUGGCCUACAACACACACACACACACACACACACACACACACACACACACACGCUGCUCUGUAUAUGCUAUAGAAGGAUGGAGCCUAAACAAACUGCACAGUUAAGUUCAGGCCGCUCAUGGGUUUUAUGUUGUUUAGUCAUUUUUAGUAUUUUCAGCAUAAAAGGCCCAAGUCCCAUGCAAGUAGACACUCUCUAAAUUCUUGUUAUUAAUAUUUUAAAAUAUAUAUUUAUGGACAGAUGCAUCUCUAGGUCAUUCAGGUUUCUUUGCAGUGGAGUUAGACAGGAGCAUCAUCAAUGACAGCACAAAGGGACUGAACUCUUUAUGUUUCGCAUCAGACUCCAUAAAAAAGAACGUUUCAGUAAAAAUACUCCUAAAAACAUGUUAGCAUAGGAUAGGAGGGUAGGAGGAUGUCCCCAGGUGAUGUUAGUGGGCUUGUCCGGCUUAUAUGGUUUCUUUAUCUGGCUGGAUGCAUGACCAUUAACAUCUGAAUAUUUGCAUUGUUUUUGAUAGUAACACCUGAAAAUGACCAGAAAGGUCACUCUGUAAUGGAACGGUGCAAUGAUGAGGUCAGUUUGUACAAUCAAUAGAAAACAGAACAUUCUGUAACAUGCAGCCUAAAGGGACAGGGCGGGUAUCAACAUCUAGUUUGAAACUUACCUUAAAAUUGUUCCAAAAGUAUUAUUUUAUCAGGGUGUGGUCUUUAAACAUAAUAAAUACUACUACUUGGUUAUGGUAGCCCA